UGGGGAAUUUUGGACAAUGGGCGAAAGCCUGAUCCAGCAAUGCCGCGUGUGUGAAGAAGGCCCUCGGGUUGUAAAGCACUUUUGUCCGGAAAGAAAUCCUUGGCUCUAAUACAGUCGGGGGAUGACGGUACCGGAAGAAUAAGCACCGGCUAACUACGUGCCAGCAGCCGCGGUAAUACGUAGGGUGCAAGCGUUAAUCGGAAUUACUGGGCGUAAAGCGUGCGCAGGCGGUUUGCUAAGACCGAUGUGAAAUCCCCGGGCUCAACCUGGGAACUGCAUUGGUGACUGGCAGGCUAGAGUAUGGCAGAGGGGGGUAGAAUUCCACGUGUAGCAGUGAAAUGCGUAGAGAUGUGGAGGAAUACCGAUGGCGAAGGCAGCCCCCUGGGCCAAUACUGACGCUCAUGCACGAAAGCGUGGGGAGCAAACAGGAUUAGAUACCCUGGUAGUCCACGCCCUAAACGAUGUCAACUAGUUGUUGGGGAUUCAUUUCCUUAGUAACGUAGCUAACGCGUGAAGUUGACCGCCUGGGGAGUACGGUCGCAAGAUUAAAACUCAAAGGAAUUGAC
rnacentral:rRNA from 1 species